AGUGAACGCUGGCGGUAGGCCUAACACAUGCAAGUCGAACGGCAGCGCAGGAGAGCUUGCUCUCUGGGUGGCGAGUGGCGGACGGGUGAGGAAUACAUCGGAAUCUACUUUUUCGUGGGGGAUAACGUAGGGAAACUUACGCUAAUACCGCAUACGACCUACGGGUGAAAGCAGGGGAUCUUCGGACCUUGCGCGAUUGAAUGAGCCGAUGUCGGAUUAGCUAGUUGGCGGGGUAAGGGCCCACCAAGGCGACGAUCCGUAGCUGGUCUGCGAGGAUGAUCAGCCACACUGGAACUGGGACACGGUACAGACUCCUACGGGAGGCAGCAGUGGGGAAUAUUGGACAAUGGGCGCAAGCCUGAUCCAGCCAUACCGCGUGGGUGAAGAAGGCCUUCGGGUUGUAAAGCCCUUUUGUUGGGAAAGAAAUCCAGCUGGUUAAUACCCGGUUGGGAUGACGGCACCCAAAGAAUAAGCACCGGCUAACUUCGUGCCAGCCGCCGCGGUAA
rnacentral:rRNA from 1 species